rnacentral:lncRNA from 1 species
GGAGCUGCUGGAGCCUGUGGAACGUUGAGCAGCUUUUACUAUCCAUGUGAGAUAUCUUGUGAUCUGUUACACUACACUCAGGGCCUGCACUGUUUCAUCUCUGAGUUCUUUUCAUCAGUCAAAAGGUGGAGACAGAAAGUAAAGAGCUCUGUCAGGAGGAGAAAGAAAUUAGAAAACAAGUGUGUGCGUGUGUGCAUGCGUGUGGGACUAAAUUCUUGUGAAAUACUGGACCUGAUGGCUGGGUUUAUAAAAAGCAAGGGAAGAAAAUGGGAAGAACCAGAUUGA